rnacentral:misc_RNA from 1 species
UCUCCGUAGGUGAACCUGCGGAGGGAUCAUUACUGAGUUUUUAACUCUCCAAACCAUGUGAACUUACCACUGUUGCCUCGGUGGUCGGUGCUGGAAACAGUGCUGCCACCGGUGGACUACUAAACUCUUGUUUUUUUUAACACUGGCCUCUCUGAGUUUACUGUACUGUAAUAAGUCAAAACUUUCAACAACGGAUCUCUUGGUUCUG